rnacentral:rRNA from 1 species
AGGCCUUCGGGUUGUAAACUCCUUUCGACAGGGACGAAGCGUAAGUGACGGUACCUGUAUAAGAAGCACCGGCUAACUACGUGCCAGCAGCCGCGGUAAUACGUAGGGUGCGAGCGUUGUCCGGAAUUACUGGGCGUAAAGAGCUCGUAGGUGGUUUGUCGCGUCGUCUGUGAAAUUCCGGGGCUUAACUCCGGGCGUGCAGGCGAUACGGGCUGACUUGAGUGCUGUAGGGGAGACUGGAAUUCCUGGUGUAGCGGUGAAAUGCGCAGAUAUCAGGAGGAACACCGAUGGCGAAGGCAGGUCUCUGGGCAGUAACUGACGCUGAGGAGCGAAAGCAUGGGUAGCGAACAGGAUUAGAUACCCUGGUAGUCCAUGCCGUAAACGGUGGGCGCUAGGUGUAGGGGGCUUCCACGUCUUCUGUGCCGUAGCUAACGCAUUAAGCGCCCCGCCUGGGGAGUACGGCCGCAAGGCUAAAACUCAAAGGAAUUGACGGGGGCCCGCACAAGCGGCGGAGCAUGUGGAUUAAUUCGAUGCAACGCGAAGAACCUUACCUGGGCUUGACAUAUACAAGACAGGCGUAGAGAUACGUCCUCCCUUGUGGUUUGUAUACAGGUGGUGCAUGGUUGUCGUCAGCUCGUGUCGUGAGAUGUUGGGUUAAGUCCCGCAACGAGCGCAACCCUUGUCUUAUGUUGCCAGCAUUUGGUUGGGGACUCAUGAGAGACUGCCGGGGUCAACUCGGAGGAAGGUGGGGAUGACGUCAAAUCAUCAUGCCCCUUAUGUCCAGGGCUUCACACAUGCUACAAUGGUCGGUACAACGCGCAGCGACACUGUGAGGUGGAGCGAAUCGCUGAAAGCCGGCCUUAGUUCGGAUUGGGGUCUGCAACUCGACCCCAUGAAGUCGGAGUCGCUAGUAAUCGCAGAUCAGCAACGCUGCGGUGAAUACGUUCCCGGGCCUUGUACACACCGCCCGUCACGUCAUGAAAGUUGGUAACACCCGAAGCCAGUGGCUCAAACUCGUUAGGGAGCUGUCGAAGGUGGGAUCGGCGAUUGGGACGAAGUCGUAACAAGGUAGCCGUACCGGAAGGUGCGGCUGGAUCACCUCCUUUCUAAGGAG